rnacentral:misc_RNA from 1 species
UCUCCGUUGGCGAACCAGCGGAGGGAUCAUUACCGAGUGCAAACUCAUAACCCUUUGUGAACCUAUAUCUGUUGCUUCGGCGGCUCGCUCUCGGGCGAGCCCGCCGGUAAUAUCAGUAUCUCUGUUUGAACCCGACGAUACUUCUGAGUGUUCUUAGCGAACAGUUAAAACUUUUAACAAUGGAUCUCUUGGCUCUA